AGUGAACGCUGGCGGUAGGCCUAACACAUGCAAGUCGAACAGCAGCACAGGAGAGCUUGCUCUCUGGGUGGCGAGUGGCGGACGGGUGAGGAAUACAUCGGAAUCUACUCUGUCGUGGGGGAUAACGUAGGGAAACUUACGCUAAUACCGCAUACGACCUACGGGUGAAAGCAGGGGAUCUUCGGACCUUGCGCGAUUGAAUGAGCCGAUGUCGGAUUAGCUAGUUGGCGGGGUAAAGGCCCACCAAGGCGACGAUCCGUAGCUGGUCUGAGAGGAUGAUCAGCCACACUGGAACUGAGGCACGGUCCAGACUCCUACGGGAGGCAGCAGUGGGGAAUAUUGGACAAUGGGCGCAAGCCUGAUCCAGCCAUACCGCGUGGGUGAAGAAGGCCUUCGGGUUGUAAAGCCCUUUUGUUGGGAAAGAAAUCCAGCUGGCUAAUACCCGGUUGGGAUGACGGUACCCAAAGAAUAAGCACCGGCUAACUUCGUGCCAGCCGCCGCGGUAA
rnacentral:rRNA from 1 species